AGAUUUUUGAUUCGCGGCGUGUAAUCCAAAUUUCUUACGGCUCUCACUCUGUGCCUUCCUCUUCAUCUUUUCAAUUCCACUGUCGAUUUCUGUUGCAAUUGAUUACUUCGCGUCUUCCAUAGUUCAUCUUGCCCACAAGUUUGUUCGGUAUAAACAGAAAUUAAAUUCUAUAGUUGAUGGAUUCCAAAAAAUCGAACGAUUGUUCAUAUGCAGAAAAAAGGAAGGCUGCUAUGCAACUUAAAUGGCGCAAUACAUAUAGUUAGGUGUCUGCUCACAAAAAGGAGGUGUUACUGCUAGCCCGCCGUGUGAAAACAGAUUCUACAAGGCAUAACCUUCUUGAAAAUCCCACUAUUGACACCCCAAUGCAGCAAACAUCAUGUUGGUACAGAGACGGUUUUCCAAAACAGGCUGCAAGCCUGCACUUAUCAUUUGAGAACCUCCAACGCUUUUUGAAAAAGCUGCCUGUCACCAAGUUCGACCAACUCAACCCCAAGACAUUUUAAACAAAGAAAAACAAGUACACAAUCCUCUGAUCAUUUCUCAAACAACUACCUACGACGAAAUUCGUUUCGUUCAAUCUCUGGACAAUUUGGACAAAAGAAAACAAGUAUGCAGCCCGCUCCCUAUCUUCGAAACGGGGUGCAUGUCGGGUGCGUCUACUCAGCAUUUUCCAACCUUAAAUAUAGUCCCAUCCAAAGGUUUGCGCUGACUCGAUGCUCCUCCGUCUGCUGAUUUCAGGAUGCGAUUUCAGAACCAUUUGUGCCUCUAACUUAAGAGAAGCAUGAUGAGGUUUCUUGUGCUUUAUCUAAAUCCAAUCGGUAUGAUUUGUACACUUUUUUUUAUACGAGGUUCAGUUUGCGAUCUCUUUAUAUGUUGUAUCUGUCUAAUUUUGUGCAGAACAAAGGUUUUGGUAACCCAAAAGGUCCAAUAUUGAUAUUACUGGAGAAAUAUUGCAAUAUUUGACAUCUGGGGCAUGGUUAAACUAUGAGCUGAUACUUUAUGUUCAGUUCCCUAUUCAGGAAUUAUGAAUGUGUAUCUUGAACGGCUAAAAGAGAGAGAGAGAGAGAGAAGGGAACCCAGGAAGUUCUUCAAAUGUCAUUUCUUUAACACAUUCUUUUACAAGAAGGAGCGAUUGAAGAGCUUACACAAUAUAUUGUUGAUAUUCUGUAUUCAUUGGCAUAGCAAAUGCCCUGAUAAUGGCUGCGCUUGUGUGUACAGAUCAUUGAGCUUUAUGGAUGCAGUUCGUACAAAUGGAUCUGCCAAGCAUACCCUUUUACAUGCUAAGUUACCCUGUUUGAAGAUACUCAAUGUCGAGGUUCUUAAAUAAAUAUCUUGCCAGCUUCCACACUUUUUUAAUCUCAUCCGACUGCCUGACAAAGCAAAAACAGAGCAAUAUAACCUCCAUACAUUCAACAGAAGUAUCAGCACCAACUUUACAUUUCUUGUUGUAUUGGAAGAAACAUUGCUAUUCCUUAAAUUAUAAUCUUCAUCAUAUUUGGCCCGGCUUUCCCCCAUCUAGUAUAUAUAAAUAUAUAGCUUAAAAUUUUAAAUUUAUUGGACCUUAUAUAUGGUUCAAUAUGCGGUCCAUAUGUCUAAUAUUCGGACCUUUUGUCGACUUCAUCUCAA